GAAAGGUCAAGGCCAAUUACAUAACCUGUUUGUAAGUCACAAGUGACCCCAUCCCACGAGCAGCAAUCAGUGCCCUCUUCCCAUGAGUCUGUUUUGGGAUAAUGAGCAUAUGGAGGGUAGUCGGAAGAGGCAGAACUGGUAAUGGAGAAAGAAUUUUUGAAUUGGAGCAAUGCAUGAUUUUGUUCAAGCUGACAAAGUACCAGUGAAAUGGAGGUAUUACAAGACAAAGAUAGAGAACUGGUGGCUUGAAA
rnacentral:misc_RNA from 1 species